rnacentral:snRNA from 1 species
UAAUCAAUUUGGUGCUUUCUUCAAUAGCACUAUACAGAGAAGAUUAGCAUGGUCCCUGUGCAAGGAUGACACCAAAUUCAUGAAGAGUUCCAUAUUUAA